UACGUAGGGGCCUAGCGUUGUCCGGAUUUAUUGGGCGUAAAGAGCUCGUAGGCGGUACGGUUAGUCAGGUGUGAAAUCUCCACGCUCAACGUGGAGGGGUCACUUGAUACUGCCGAGCUUGAGUCCGGUAGGGGAGUGUGGAAUUCCCGGUGUAGCGGUGAAAUGCGCAGAUAUCGGGAGGAACACCCGUGGCGAAGGCGGCACUCUGGGCCGGUACUGACGCUGAGGAGCGAAAGCGUGGGGAGCAAACAGG
rnacentral:rRNA from 1 species